CUACGGGUUGCACCAGUGAGGAAUAUUGCACAAUGGGGGGAACCCUGAUGCAGCAACGCCGCGUGGAGGAUGACGCAUUUCGGUGUGUAAACUCCUUUUAUAUGUCAAGAGAAUGACGGUAGCAUAUGAAUAAGCACCGGCUAACUCCGUGCCAGCAGCCGCGGUAAUACGGAGGGUGCAAGCGUUACUCGGAAUCACUGGGCGUAAAGGACGCGUAGGCGGGUUGGAAAGUCAGGUGUGAAAUCCUACAGCUUAACUGUAGAACUGCACUUGAAACUUCUAAUCUAGAGUAUGGGAGGGGGAGAUGGAAUUAGUGGUGUAGGGGUAAAAUCCGUAGAUAUCACUAGGAAUACCUAAAGCGAAGGCGAUCUCCUGGAACAUUACUGACGCUAAGGCGUGAAAGCGUGGGGAGUAAACAGGAUUAGAUACCCUCGUAGUC
rnacentral:rRNA from 1 species